ACGGGUGAGUAACGCGUAUGCAACCUACCUAUCAGAGGGGAAUAACCCGGCGAAAGUCGGACUAAUACCGCAUAAAACAGGGGCACCGCAUGGUGAUAUUUGUUAAAGAAAUUCGCUGAUAGAUGGGCAUGCGUUCCAUUAGGUAGUUGGUGAGGUAACGGCUCACCAAGCCGACGAUGGAUAGGGGAACUGAGAGGUUGGUCCCCCACACUGGUACUGAGACACGGACCAGACUCCUACGGGAGGCAGCAGUGAGGAAUAUUGGUCAAUGGGCGGGAGCCUGAACCAGCCAAGUCGCGUGAAAAGGAAGAAGGAUCUAUGGUUCGUAAACUUCUUUUGCAGGGGAAUAAAGUGCAGGACGUGUCCUGUUUUGUAUGUACCCUGAGAAUAAGGAUCGGCUAACUCCGUGCCAGCAGCAGC
rnacentral:rRNA from 1 species